rnacentral:tRNA from 1 species
GGAUAUAGCUCAGUUGGUAGAGUGCUUGCCUUGCAUGCACAAGGCCCUGGGUUCGAUCCCUAGCACCA